GAUGAACGCUGGCGGCGUGCUUAACACAUGCAAGUCGAACGGGAAACCUUUUAUUGAAGCUUCGGCAGAUUUAGCUGGUUUCUAGUGGCGGACGGGUGAGUAACGCGUGGGUAACCUGCCUUAUACAGGGGGAUAACAGUCAGAAAUGGCUGCUAAUACCGCAUAAGCGCACAGAGCUGCAUGGCUCAGUGUGAAAAACUCCGGUGGUAUAAGAUAGACCCGCGUUGGAUUAGCUGGUUGGUGGGGUAACGGCCCACCAAGGCGACGAUCCAUAGCCGGCCUGAGAGGGUGAACGGCCACAUUGGGACUGAGACACGGCCCAGACUCCUACGGGAGGCAGCAGUGGGGAAUAUUGCACAAUGGGGGAAACCCUGAUGCAGCGACGCCGCGUGAAGGAAGAAGUAUCUCGGUAUGUAAACUUCUAUCAGCAGGGAAGAUAAUGACGGUACCUGACUAAGAAGCCCCGGCUAACUACGUG
rnacentral:rRNA from 1 species